rnacentral:rRNA from 1 species
GUCCUCCUACGGGGCGCAGCAGUAGGGAAUUUUCGUCAAUGGGCGCAAGCCUGAACGAGCAAUGCCGCGUGAACGAGGAAGGUCUUCGGAUCGUAAAGUUCUGUUGAAGGGGAAAAAGAGCGGAGAGAGGAAAUGGUCUCCGAUUGAUAUUACCCUUCGAGGAAGUCACGGCUAACUACGUGCCAGCAGCCGCGGUAAUACGUAGGAUGCGAGCGUUAUCCGGAUUUAUUGGGUUUAAAGGGUGCGCAGGCGGCACGGCAAGCCGGCGGUCAAAUCGCGGGGCUCAACCCCGCCCAGCCGUCGGG